CCCUUAGAUGUCCUGGGCCGCACGCGCGCUACACUGAUGCAUUCAACGAGUUUUACCUUGGCCGAGAGGCCUGGGCAAUCUUUUAAACCUGCAUCGUGAUAGGGAUAGAUUAUUGCAAUUAUUAAUCUUGAACGAGGAAUUCCUAGUAAACGCAAAUCAUCAAUUUGCAUUGAUUACGUCCCUGCCCUUUGUACACACCGCCCGUCGCACCUACCGAUUGAAUGGUCCGGUGAAGCCUCGGGAUUGUGGCCAGUUCACUUUAUUGGGAGUUGACUGCGAGAACUUGUCUAAACCUUAUCAUUUAGAGGAAGGUGAAGUCGUAACA
rnacentral:rRNA from 1 species